rnacentral:lncRNA from 1 species
CAGGACAGCAGUGGAUGAGGGGCCAAGCAGAGGAAAUGUGCAUUCAUUGGCCGUGUAUGCACUCAGCAUUUGUG